rnacentral:misc_RNA from 1 species
AUUCUUCUAAGCAUUGAAAUUAUAAUGAAAUUCAGUUAACUGUGUCUUUCAGGUGUAAAAGAAUGAGAUUGGUUGGUCUGUAUGGAGAUUGCAUGUUCUUUUUGUCAUGUUAUGUCUUGUAGUACUGAUAGAGAGAAAAUAAUUAACAUAUUACAAUUAUUCCAAAGACUGUUAUUCUUGCCAAUCAGAUUUUUUUUUCUCAAAAAAGGUAAUAAUUUGUCUCAUAGUUGACUAGAAUAGACGUUUAUAGGAAAGCAACACAGGGUCAGUGAGUCUUUUAGUCUCACAGAAAUUUCUCUCAAGUGUACAUGUAGGCUAUGGAAGCAGAGUAAACUUGACAAUGAUGUAGAGAAAAAUGUAGAUAAUUAUGUUAAUGGUAUAUUCAGUGUAUCAUACAUAUUUUUUUUUUAACCUGAACAAAAUAUUAUAGGGGUUUGUUGUAGGACUUUUUUACUUAUGUAUACAAAAAAGUGGUGUUUUUCACCUUAUCACUUGUUUUUUAUCAUUCAUUCUCAUAUAAUUGUCUCCAUCUUGACACUUGUAGAGAUCAGCUUACAAAGGAAGUUCUCAGACAAAUCUCCGCGAAUCGAGGUUCUCAAUGAAAAACUCUUAUGCACAAUUUGCAUGUAAUAUUACAUUUUAACCCCAGAUAUCAUAAAGUUAACCUUUCAUGAAAUAGAAAUUUGAUCAGAAAGGUUUUUUGGCUUAAAGAGAGGAGCCACUGUUGUGAAAUUAUUUGUUGUUGUGUCUGUGUAUAAGAAAUCUUGUCUAUCUUGUGUAAGCUUGUUCCCCAGACCCUCAGGUUGGUCAGAACCAGUCCAGGGUGAGGGAGUCAAUGUCAUGUGUGGGUUGUGUCGACAUGCAUGAGUUGUAAAUGCUUUUGAUGUACAAAUCUUAAUUAAUUAAUUAUAAUGUGUAUAACUUCAUCUAUGAACAACAUGACUGACAAGAAUAAAGUCAUCAUAAAACGGG